rnacentral:lncRNA from 1 species
CUCCAGAUCAGAGGCAGUUGGGAUGACCAGGGAUGUUCUCUGUUUAGUGAGUCCUCCAGAUCAGAGGCAGUAGGGAUGACCAGGGAUGUUCUCUGUUUAGUGAGUCCUCCAGAUCAGAGGCAGUAGGGAUGACCAGGGAUGUUCUCUGUUUAGUGAGUCCUCCAGAUCAGAGGCAGUAGGGAGGACCAGGGAUGUUCUCUGUUUAGUGAGUCCUCCAGAUCAGAGGCAGUAGGGAGGACCAGGGAUGUUCUCUGUUUAGUGAGUCAUCCAGAUCAGAGGCAGUAGGGAUGACCAGGGAUGUUCUCUGUUUAGUGAGUCCUCCAGAUCAGAGGCAGUAGGGAUGACCAGGGAUGUUCUCUGUUUAGUGAGUCCUCCAGAUCAGAGACAGGUGGGAUGACCAGGGAUGUUCUCUGUUUAGUGAGUCCUCCAGAUCAGAGGCAGUAGAGAUUACCAGGGAUGUUCUCUGUUUAGUGAGUCCUCCAGAUCAGAGACAGUAGGGACGACCAGGGAUGUUCUCUUGAUUAUUGCGUGAAUUGGACCAUUUCCUGUCCUGCUAAGCAUUUAAAAUGUAACGAGUACUUUUGGGUGUCAGGGAAAAUGCAUGGAGUAAAAAGUACAUUAUUUUAUUUAGGAAUGUAGUGAAGUAAAAGUAGUCAAACAUAUAAAUAGUAAAGUACAGAUACCCCAAAAAACGAAUUAAGUAGUAAUUGAAAGUAUUUUUACUGAAGUACUUUACACCACUGCCCCAUACCAUAACCCCACCGCCAACAUGCGGCACUCUGUUCACAACGAUGACAUCAUCAAACCGCUCACCCACACAACGCCAUGCACGUGAUCUGCAGUUGUGAGGCCUGUUGGACGUAACGCCAAAUUCUCUAAACUACUUUAGAGGCGGCUUAUGGUAGAGAAAUUAUCAUUUAAUUAUCUGGCAAAAGCUCUGGUGGACAUUCCUGCAGUCAGCAUGCCAAUUUCACGCUCCCUCAAAACUUGAGACAUCUGUUCCAUUGUGUUGUGUGACAAAACUGCACAUUGUAGAGGGGACUUUUAUUGUCCCCGGCACAAGGUUCACCUGUGUAAUAAUCAUGCUGUUUAAUCAUUUUAUUGAUAUGCCACACCUGUCACACCUGUCAGUUAGAUGGAUUAUCUUGGCAAAGGAGAAGUGCUCACUGACAUGGACGACAAACAUGGACAUGGACGUCAAACAUUUGAGAGACAAACAUUUGAGAGAAAAAAGCUUUUUUGUGCGCAUGGAACAUUUCUGGGAUCUUUUAUUUCAGCUCAUGAAACAUG